rnacentral:rRNA from 1 species
UAAGGAAUAUUGGACAAUGGGCGGAAGCCUGAUCCAGCCAUGCCGCGUGAAGGAAGAAGGCGCUCAGCGUUGUAAACUUCUUUUGAAUGGGAACAAUAACCUCCACGAGUUGGGGGCUUGAGGGUACCAUUAGAAUAAGCACCGGCUAACUCCGUGCCAGCAGCCGCGGUAAUACGGAGGGUGCAAGCGUUAUCCGGAAUCACUGGGUUUAAAGGGUGCGUAGGCGGUUCGGUAAGUCAGUUGUGAAAUC